rnacentral:rRNA from 1 species
UACGUAGGGGGCAAGCGUUGUCCGGAUUUAUUGGGCGUAAAGAGCGUGUAGGCGGUUUGGUAGGUCCGUUGUGAAAACUCGAGGCUCAACCUCGAGACGCCGGCGGAAACCAUCAGGCUAGAGUCCGGAAGAGGAGAGUGGAAUUCCUGGUGUAGCGGUGAAAUGCGCAGAUAUCAGGAGGAACACCGGUGGCGAAGGCGGGUCUCUGGGCAACAACUGACGCUGAGGAGCGAAAGCGUGGGGAGCGAACAGG